rnacentral:lncRNA from 10 species
CUUCGCCCUUCACCCACCAAGCCCUCGUCGUUCCUCUUCAACCCCAGCAUCCCCCUGGGUUCCUGUGCAGGCCUCGGCUUCCAGGAACCCUGCCUUGGAGUGUGUGUGUGGCUCUGUGACCGGCAAGCAGGAGGCCACGGCUGUCCCACCCUCAGGGCUCUCACAUGGUGAGUGGCUUGGAGGACACCCUCCAUGUGGAGCUCAGGGCCACCACCCCGACAAGGCCUGCAAGCGUGGGCUUGUGCCUAUCACUCAUGCCUUCCCAGCUACCUCGGCCCAGUGAGAGUUGAGCACUGCGCUGAGCGCUCACAGCUGGGUCCCAGGAUCCAGCUCCGUGAGGCUGCCCAACGCAGAGCAGAGGGCAGAGGCAGCCUGGGUGGCCCAGCCACUGCCCCAACCUGAGGUCUCCCAGCAGCACCAGGUCUGGAAAAUGCGAAUCCCAAGAAACAUAAAAGAAACCCUGAGGAUCACAAAGAAAGCUGCGCUCUUGAGAAACAAAUACAUAAACAAAAAUAAAAAGGAGAAGAGAAGCAAGUUCGGCUUAGUACUUGUGAUUUUUCUUUAAACCUCAAAUAUUAUCGUCAUGGAAGAAAUACUCACAGUCCAUCAAGCUUGCCUGUCAGGAGCAUUUCCACCCUACAGACCAGCCAUGGAGGCAGAGUGCAGCCCGGGUCUGUGGGUCACCAGGCCUCAAAUGCCAUCCCAGCGCCAGUGAAAGUUUGCUGUGUUCCUUUACACUGUCCCCUGUGGGCCUGGCUUCCCUGUGAGAAGGUUAAAGAGCCCCAAACAAAACACGCAUUGAAACCUGCCUCCACAGCCCUCUCGGGCCUGCACAGGGCUGACCGGCACCCCUGGAGCCUGUCCACCUCUGGAAGGGCAGUUGCAUGGCUCUGAGCACCGACGGAAACCCCUCGACCUGGAGAGGCCGCCUGCGUGGGGCCGACGUUGCACAGGCUGACCUUGUAGGGCGGUGGGUGGGGGAUGCGGGGCAGGGGGCACAGCCCGGGCGCUCUUCCAGUGCUGGUUUGUCUAUUUCAUGUUGUCCACCCUGUCAUCCACCAAUUGUUCUUUGGGUCCAUUGGUAAUAAUAUCUCCCGCAUGGAUGGGCUCUUCCCAGAGCCUCGUGGGUGCUGAAUGAAGCCCAAGGAAUGGCCUUCACCAGACACUUUGUUUUGUUUUUUCUGUUUAUAAAAGGCAGGGCCCAGAUAGUUUCAUUUUCACAGGGACAUCUGUAAGCACACACUUUGAUUUACACUGGGAAGAGCCAAUGGUUCUCAUUUACAGAGGGUCAAGCUCCAGGAGGGAGGCAAGGGGACGCUUUGGAAAAUAAAGUUCUUCCUUUUACUCCUGUGGGCCUGAUGUGCUCUGUGAAGUUCAAACACUGUAUCGACCAUCUCAACUCUCAGGACAGCAUGUGACACCUCCAUCACUGGGAGCAAACUCUGUGCAGGAGCACCUGAUUCUGCCAGGGCAGGAAAUUCACUCUCAGAAGCAUGUUCCACUCAAGCGGACUUGGCCUGCGCUGUGAGUCAAUGUAAAGAGGGUGUGUUGGCUUCGGCUGGUUGACCUUCAGAAGUCGGAGAAGGCCAAAGUCCCACUGAAUAAACUGCAGAUGAAAGAGACUCAUGGGUCCUCAGAAGGAGGCAUAUGGCUGCUCUCGGGAUCUUGACUUUUGAAAUAUUUGUUUAAAGCAAACACUUGCAGUGGCCGUGGAAAGCCUCCCGUUUCCUCUGGACCCUCAGCCUCUCCCUCGCAGGGCACCGGGCUCUCUCCCUCGGGGACAAUGAGGCGAGAGAGGCUUUUGUUUAUUCUUCAGGAGUCUCUGAGAGUUCACAGUCAUGUUAAAAAUUAACCUGGGGCCAGGCGCGGUGGCUCAUGCCUGUAAUCCCAGCACUCUGGGAGGCCAAGGCACAGGCGGGUCACCUGAGGUCAGGAGUUCAAGACCAGCUUGGCCAACAUGGAGAAACCCCAUCUCUACUAAAAAUACAAAAAUGAGUCGGGUGUAGUGAUGGGUGCCUGUAGUCCCAGCUACUCAGGAGGCUGAGGCAGGAGACUCACUUGAACCCGGGAGGCGGAGUUUGCAGUGAACCGAGGUCGUGCCACCGUACUCCAGCCUGGGUGACAGAGUGAGACUCUGUCUCAAAAAAAAAAAAAAAAAAAAAUUAAGAAAAAGAAAAAAGAGACCAAGCAUGGUGGCUCAUGCCUGUAAUCCCAGCACUUUGGGAGGCCGAGGUAGGCUGAUCACCUGAGGUCAGGAGUUCAAGACCAGCCUGGCCAACAUGGUGAAACCACGUCUCUACUAAACGUAUAAAAAAUUAGCUGGGUGUGGUGGCGAGCACCUGUAAUCCCAGCUACUCAGGAGGCUGAGGCAGGAGAAUUGCUUGAACUUGGGAGGCAGAGAUUGUGGUGAGCCAAGAUCACGCCACUGCACUCCAGCCUGGGCGACAGAGUGAGACUGUGUCUAAAAAAAAAAAAAAAAAAAAAAUUAGCCUGGGCUCACACCAGCCUUGGGCUCCGCCGCUGGGCUCUCCUCAGAGUCCUUGGUCACACGGGCUGACACUUUGCCGAGUCCUGGCCCCAGGCCCAGAGGGACUCACCUUGCAGGAAGGGAGGGCCUCCUGAUUCCGGAUCCCACAGUCUGGAAUCACCAGACUGGGGCAAAUCCAUCUUCUGCCACUAAAACUUACCAGCAUCUUAAAGCCCAAAGUGCCCUUUUAUCUGUAUUUGCAAAUACAAGCUUAUUAUUUUCUAGAAAGAGACUCCUUACAACGAACAAAGUGCAAAGCAGUGUCCAUAUUUUAAUAGGCCUGAGCCUCAGGUGGGUGAUGCCUGCAUUUCAGGCUCAGCUCUGCACUUGAGCUGUAAAUAUGCGUUCCUUGAGAUUAAGACGAAAAGGAAAACCGUCCGACAAAUGUGUUUGGUGGAUUAUGACACCAUGACGCGUGGCCUCAGUUUCCUCACUUUGAAAAAUAUCCUUCAAGCAGCACAGAGCGGGCGGUUUGUCUCACGCUGGAGAAGGAAUUCAGACGCAAAGCUCGCCGCAGCCUCAGAGGGCAGGCGCACCAGGCUCCUGGGUUCUCUCCGUGAAGGAAACUGACGAAGCCUUCCCGAAGGCUGAUUUCUAACUGCCUGAUGCUUCCAACGAGGUGGAGCUGUGGGCACAGACUCCCCUGAAAAGCUGAAGACACGCGCGGAGAGUGGGCACUGGACACUGGUUUCCAGCCCCUUAGCCUGGUGCCUUCAGAGACCGCGCCCCACCUCAGGGCUCGGCUGGCAGCAGGAGCCGGCGUGGAACGGCACAGACGCCGGUGCUGGGGGUUGGGACGGGCGGGAUAGAGCCUCAAGUCUGUCUGCGGCCUGAGGCCUUUCUGUGGGCUGCUGCAGACGAUCACUGCCAGGUGGAGAAGAAAGCCCAAGACAAGCUCUGGUUUUUCUGCAUCUCUUAUUCCCAAACUGAUGUAUAUUUAGCUUCAGAGUAGCUGAACCUCCUCCUCCGCCCCCCAGCCCCCAUCUCCCUGUUAGAAACAAUCUGUGGGACCUGAACAUCCUCCCAGGGUCUAAGACCAGGCUCUCUGCUGAGCCACACUUUGAGAACAGUGCUGUAAUUAAAUACACACGUGUAUUUUUUUAAAAUAACAAAAUAUAUUUAAAAACGUAUUUUUCCUACCUAUUCCCUUGUAAUGUUUCUCUUUAGAUGUGAACAUAAUUAAAUGUAAAUUUGUUUUACUCCAUUUUUAUUAUCCAAGUGUUUUUUACUUUGUGAUUCUUUAAGUUCCUUAGAUUUAUAAUUAUAAAGUUGUUAAAUUUUCUGUUAAAUUUAUAAACUAUAUUUGUCU